GAUGAAGAACGCAGCGAAAUGCGAUAAGUAAUGUGAAUUGCAGAAUUCAGUGAAUCAUCGAAUCUUUGAACGCACAUUGCGCCCGCCAGUAUUCUGGCGGGCAUGCCUGUUCGAGCGUCAUUUCAACCAUCAAGCCCCCCGGCUUGUGUUGGGGACCUGCGGCUGCCGCAGGCCCUGAAAAGCAGUGGCGGGCUCGCUGUCACACCGAGCGUAGUAGAUCUCAUCUCGCUCAGGGCGUGCUGCGGGUUCCGGCCGUUAAACCACCUUCAUAACCCAAGGUUGACCUCGGAUCAGGUAGGAAGACCCGCAGAACUUAAGCAUAUCAAUAAGCGGAGGA
rnacentral:misc_RNA from 1 species